GAUGAAGAACGCAGCGAAAUGCGAUACGUAAUGUGAAUUGCAGAAUUCAGUGAAUCAUCGAAUCUUUGAACGCAUAUUGCGCUCUCUGGUAUUCCGGAGAGCAUGCUUGUUUGAGUAUCACUAAACACCUCAACUUCCAUAUCUUUUUUGAAAUGGGAGUUGGACUUGAGUGAUCCCAACGCUUUUCCUCACCGAAAAGUGGCGGGUUACUUGAAAUGCAGGUGCAGCUGGACUUUUUUCUGAGCUAUAAGCAUAUCUAUUUAGUCUGCCUAAAAAACAGAUUAUUACCUUUACUGCAGCUAACAUAAAGGAGAUUAGUUCUUGUGCUGACUGAUGCAGGAUUCACAAAGACAGGCUUCGGCCGACUUUGUAAACUCGAUCUCAAAUCAAGUAAGACUACCCGCUGAACUUAAGCAUAUCAAUAAGCGGAGGA
rnacentral:misc_RNA from 1 species